CCGUCCGUCGAAAGGCGGAUUUCCUAGCAAUAGGACGAGUAUACAGGUGCUGCAUGGCUGUCGUCAGCUCGUGCCGUGAGGUGUUCGGUUAAGUCCGGCAACGAGCGCAACCCAUAUCAUUAGUUGCAAACAGUUCGGCUGAGCACUCUAAUGAGACUGCCCGUGUUAAGCGGGAGGAAGGCGUGGAUGACGUCAAGUCCGUAUGGCCUUUAUAUCUAGGGCUGCACACGUGCUACAAUGACCGGUAUAAUGGGUCGCAAUACCGCAAGGUGGAGCAAAUCCUCAAAACCGGUCCCAGUUCGGAUUGCAGUCUGCAACUCGACUGCAUGAAGUUGGAAUCGCUAGUAAAGGCGUAUCAGCUACGACGCCUUGAAUACGUUCCCGGGCCUUGUACACACCGCCCGUCACAUCAUGGAAGCUGAUUGCACCCGAAGUCAUACAAAAUAUGCCUAAGGUGUGGUCAGUGACUGGGAUGAAGUCGUAACAAGGUAACCGUA
rnacentral:rRNA from 1 species